rnacentral:rRNA from 1 species
AGAGUUUGAUCCUGGCUCAGGACGAACGCUGGCGGCGCGCCUAACACAUGCAAGUCGAACGAGAGAGAGGGAGCUUGCUUCCUUGAUCGAGUGGCGAACGGGUGAGUAACGCGUGAGGAACCUGCCUCAAAGAGGGGGACAACAGUUGGAAACGACUGCUAAUACCGCAUAAGCCCACGACCCGGCAUCGGGAAGAGGGAAAAGGAGCAAUCCGCUUUGAGAUGGCCUCGCGUCCGAUUAGCUAGUUGGUGAGGUAACGGCCCACCAAGGCGACGAUCGGUAGCCGGACUGAGAGGUUGAACGGCCACAUUGGGACUGAGACACGGCCCAGACUCCUACGGGAGGCAGCAGUGGGGAAUAUUGCACAAUGGGGGAAACCCUGAUGCAGCGACGCCGCGUGGAGGAAGAAGGUCUUCGGAUUGUAAACUCCUGUUGUUGAGGAAGAUAAUGACGGUACUCAACAAGGAAGUGACGGCUAACUACGUGCCAGCAGCCGCGGUAAAACGUAGGUCACAAGCGUUGUCCGGAAUUACUGGGUGUAAAGGGAGCGCAGGCGGGAAGACAAGUUGGAAGUGAAAUCCAUGGGCUCAACCCAUGAACUGCUUUCAAAACUGUUUUUCUUGAGUAGUGCAGAGGUAGGCGGAAUUCCCGGUGUAGCGGUGGAAUGCGUAGAUAUCGGGAGGAACACCAGUGGCGAAGGCGGCCUACUGGGCACCAACUGACGCUGAGGCUCGAAAGUGUGGGUAGCAAACAGGAUUAGAUACCCUGGUAGUCCACACCGUAAACGAUGAUUACUAGGUGUUGGGAGAUUGACCCUCUCAGUGCCGCAGUUAACACAAUAAGUAAUCCACCUGGGGAGUACGACCGCAAGGUUGAAACUCAAAGGAAUUGACGGGGGCCCGCACAAGCAGUGGAGUAUGUGGUUUAAUUCGACGCAACGCGAAGAACCUUACCAAGUCUUGACAUCCUCUGACGAACGUAGAAAUACGUUUUCUCUUCGGAGCAGAGAGACAGGUGGUGCAUGGUUGUCGUCAGCUCGUGUCGUGAGAUGUUGGGUUAAGU